UCCAGACUCCUACGGGAGGCAGCAGUGGGGGAUAUUGCACAAUGGGGGAAACCCUGAUGCAGCGACGCCGCGUGGGCGAAGAAGUAUUUCGGUAUGUAAAGCCCUCUCAGCAGGGAAGAAGAAAUGACGGUACCUGAGUAAGAAGCACCGGCUAAAUACGUGUCAGCAGCCGCGGUAAUACGUAUGGUGCAAGCGUUAUCCGGAUUUACUGGGUGUAAAGGGAGCGCAGGCGGCACGGCAAGCCUGAUGUGAAAGCCCGGGGCCCAACCGCGGGACUGCAUUGGGAACUGCCGGGCUGGAGUGCCGGAGAGGUAGGCGGAAUUCCUAGUGUAGCGGUGAAAUGCGUAGAUAUUAGGAGGAACACCAGUGGCGAGGGCGGCCUACUGGACGGUGACUGACGCUGAGGCUCGAAAGCGUGGGGAGCAAACAGGAUUAGAUACCCCAGUAU
rnacentral:rRNA from 1 species